AUUGAACGCUGGCGGCAGGCUUAACACAUGCAAGUCGAGCGAAUGGAUUAAGAGCUUGCUCUUAUGAAGUUAGCGGCGGACGGGUGAGUAACACGUGGGUAACCUGCCCAUAAGACUAGGAUAACUCCGGGAAACCGGGGCUAAUACCGGAUAACAUUUUGAACCGCAUGGUUCGAAAUUGAAAGGCUGCUUCGGCUGUCACUUAUGGAUGGACCCGCGUCGCAUUAGCUAGUUGGUGAGGUAACGGCUCACCAAGGCAACGAUGCGUAGCCGACCUGAGAGGGUGAUCGGCCACACUGGGACUGAGACACGGCCCAGACUCCUACGGGAGGCAGCAGUAGGGAAUCUUCCGCAAUGGACGAAAGUCUGACGGAGCAACGCCGCGUGAGUGAUGAAGGCUUUCGGGUCGUAAAACUCUGUUGUUAGGGAAGAACAAGUGCUAGUUGAAUAAGCUGACACCUUGACGGUACCUAACCAGAAAGCCACGGCUAACUACGUGCCAGCCGCCGCAGUAAUAC
rnacentral:rRNA from 1 species